AUAAUCUGGAAAGGCCUUAAAUGUUAGUUUUAAACUGCCACACCUGCUUUUCCUUGUUUCCAGGCUGAAGAAGGCCACGUGGGGAGUGUGUCUGCCCAAGGCAUUGCGUGAAGGGGAAGAGGUGCCCGACCCCCUCGCAAGAGCCGUUCCCCAUGGAAGCCCACUCAGAUCAUUCAGCAUGCCCAUGUCCACUCGCUUCUACGAAGAGCGCUCAUUGGGGGACAGAUACUGCCAUGCACAGCUCCUGUAUCCCGAGUGGAACCCCUCCGCCAGGGAGCAGCUGGAGAUCUCUCGGGAGAGCCCCGUGGUCUCCUACACCAUGGCCACCCACCAGAGAGGCCCACGGGCCACAGUGGGGGUGGCCGCAUGCCAGAUGGACCCGCAGGAGGAGGAAGAGGAGGACUUUUGGAGGCUCCGGCUGCAGUCUGAGGAAUGAUGGGCUGAGAGCAAAGGGUAUUCUUGCUCUGUACACGAAGGCACAAAGAAAAGAGACAGAGUGGGCCAAAUCAGCUGGGCCAAAGCAGGCAUGUCUCUUCCACUCCCUCCAUUGUGACUCCUCCUGUUGCUUUCUAGUUUGUGUUAUUUUUUGCAACAAACAUUAUGGUGCAUGUGCUCUCUCUUUCACACACACAGAGAUUGACUUUCUCCCCCUUUGUGCUGGCAAUAAGCCCUUGAUUGUGGGAUGCACGAAAAGAAAAGGGAAGGGGAGAGGGAAGAAAGAAAGCCAUUGCCAGGGGAAACUUGGGGAGGGUUUCCAUAGUAAUAGGGUACCAGCAGAAGCAGAGAGGGGGCUGGCUGGCGUGGGCUUGGGCGUUAUUCCCCCUCCUUCCCCGACGUUAGACAUUGAUUUGGCAAAGGAGAAAGGUCCCCAAAGUCCUGGCAUCUUUUUAAAAGGAUCGGCAACUUACAACAAACCAGUUUUCAGUUCCAAAGAAUUAAUAUACAGCCCACUCAUAGAAGUGGGAGUAAGCAAGCGAAAUUACAAUAUGCUCUCCUUUCUUUCACAUUAAGGGGGGGGGGGGGCUUUUAUCAAGCACCACUGAACUUGUAGAACGCAAUGAACACUGCUGGGAGCUACAGUAGCACUUCAUAUGGGUCCCAGCCCUAUUUUAAACCCUCAAUUCUGGACACUUUCAAGAAAGGUUUUAAAUGUUAGUUAUUGGAGGCGGCUGCGGGAGUUAGUGGUGCGGUUUCAGAGGCUCCCAGGCCAAGCAACACGAGCAUGGAAUACACUGAAGCCCCAUGUUUGGCCGCAACAGCUUUAUUUUAAUAUUAAAGGGAGAAUAUAUUAAGACAUAGCUUGCGUUGACAUAGUUUGCAUUCAAGUGAUGUUAAUGCUCUACAAUGGAGGUAGGAAGCAGGGUUCUUUGUUCUGUUAGUGUUUCAGCUGUUUUAUUAAAUGCACAGUGUGACCAUUUUUGUGGAAACCUGGUUGUUUUGUUACUAAAAUGUUGAGACGCUCUGCCGUGUCCCUUCUGAAAAACAACCCCCAAAACCCUAGGGCCACCUCGGCUCUCCCUCCUGGUAUUUUGGACCGAAACAGCCGAUAGGAAUUUCAUCAUAUGCUCGCCUCUAAGAUUCUGAUGUGGGGCAAGAUAGGAAUAUUUACUGUGAUCAAUUAAUUGUUUUUAGAUACCAGAGAGAUGGCUUCUUCAUGCCAGUCAGGCCAGACUCAUCUGAGUCCCCUUCGGGGUGAGAUGGCCGG
rnacentral:lncRNA from 11 species